GCGGGUGUAGCUCAGCUGGUUAGAGCGCCAGAUUGUGAUUCUGGAUGUCGCCGGUUCGAAUCCGGUCACUCGCCCCA
rnacentral:tRNA from 1 species